CAAAAUAAUAAUUGGGGUAGGAGAUACGCGUCGUUCGAGGAGUCAUCAUGUGAAAACUGAACGCGUAUAAAUAUGUUACAAGUGGGGUGAAAAGUAGAUCAGAACGUCUAAAUACCAACAGUGGACGUACGUCGUGACUUAGAAAGUGUUAAUCGUGAAAUUGACCGACGUUUCCGUUUACGCUGUACUCUCGAUAGAACUGGUUUAUCAUUAUGCUGCGUGUACAUUGAUAAAUAAAUCUAUCGGUGUGCAUGCCUCUUGAAACUGUGUUUAUCUCAAUUAAAUAUCGUUUGCUACUGAGAACGUGAUAAGGAUAAUGAAAAUACGCCAACGCAUUUUCGCGUUUGAGAUCAAGUGAAACUGGAGCUUGACACAAAUAGGGAAAACACACAUAUUAUAUAUUUUCAGUUACGCUUGUAAUGCAGAGGAAAACAUGAAGAAUCACAAACUUGCAAACUUUUCUUUCUAUGAUUUUAUGAAUAGUUUAAUUUUCUACGAGAAGUUUGUUUACAACAUAGAAUAAUUGCUUGAAAGUUCUUGUUGUGGUUAGAAAGCUGGCUAUGUGUGUAUAAUAAAUAGUAAUAUCGUAAGAAUAUGUAAAUUAUUAGAAAUUUAUGUUAAAUUAUGUGUACAUGAUUGUAUAGUAUGUAUAAAGCAAACAUAUGCUAGUAACAAGCCAAGGAUAUCAUACUGUUUACCUGUCUAUCCUUCAUGUGUCUAAGUAUAAAUACACAUAGGUAUACAUAACUUAAAAUAUUUUUUAAAUGAAUUAAAUAUAUGUAUAAUAAUAUACGAAAUUUGAAUCCCGUACGCGGCGCUGAUUGGAAGAGUACUUUUGUUGCAUCAACCAAUCAGAAAUUAACUAAACGAUUCUGUAGACGCAAACGUCAUUCUCCCGCCGAAAACGGUGGCAUAAACAUUACGAUCCUGUUUCAGCAUUCACUAACACUACGAGACUACGAGGUUUGAUGAUUCAUUCCUUCGUGGUGAUGAUUUCUAAACUCCAAGAGCCAAGAAUAUUUUUCACAUUACGCCAUGGAAUACAGUGGGUCUUUUUUGAUAACUGCCUUUGCGACAGCUUAGGACAAUUUAACUGCAGCGUUGGUGGCAACAUCCUUCGCAUCUAAUCGUGAGUCGCAUGAAUUUUUGUUCCUCCGGUCACUCAAUCAUGUCGUAGGAUGAAAGGUCCGAAUCGACACGGGUGACUAGUUGUAUUACGUAGAAUUGUAUGCGAGUAUAGUGACCGCGAGUAUUUAUUAUAUUCGUGAGUAGUAACACUUUAUAUUUUAACGUCUUAUUUGCUAGCUUAGGAUAGAUCUUCCUGCACAUUGCGUUUUUAUAUUGCCAAUAUGAUAUUGGUAAUUAAGAUUUUAUAUUAAUAAUAUUAAUAUAAUGUUAACAACUGGUAGGAACUAUAUUAUAUUGAUAAUUAUUGUUUGAUAAUUGCAUCACCAAAAUUACUUUUAAAAUAUGAUUAUGUAUAUCCAUAAGAAUAUACAUGAGAUAUGAAUAUUUGAAUCCAUAAUAAAUAUUAAAAUGAUAUUGAUUAUUUCAAAGCGGAGAAGUCUGAUAUCCUCCGACUUUGUUACAAUUAUUGCACAAUGAUAAUAACGAGAAUUCAUAAUGUAUACAAUAAUGCAUAAAAUAAAUAAUUUUAAUAAUAAAUCAUCUUCAAUUUUAUCUUCUACUUCAUUACUAUCUUAAUUUGCAUAAUUCUUUGAUCUUCAUAUUAUAAAUUGGAGUAUAAUUUAAAUUGUAUAAUAAAGUAUUAGAGUUCAGUUCCUUCCGUAUGAAAGUAUAUUAAAUGCUAUGUGCAAGAAGAAACUUCGCGACAGGUAAAUUUCUGAAUUAAAGCAACAAGUUUUGAACACUGCUUUUAUACUUUUUAAAAUAUGCUUUGAUGAAGAGAUAACCUGAGAUUAUUUACAUUAAUAUUAAAUUCAGAAUCAGUUAUAAAAUAAAUUUCUCGUUCAUUUCCAAUCUUUUUCUUUCUAAAGUUUUAAUAAUUCAUUAAAUCAGUACAGUAGAUACAAAGUACAUACAUGAAUAUACUAAUCGUUUUUUAGCUGAGGAUUUUCAGGUUCAAUCUCUUCCGUGUUCAUUGCUAGGAGCUCAUUCACGUGACCAGGUGUUACUUGGGUGUAAAAUAGGCAAUGGGCACGAUCAUAGUUCAUAAAUUUAUAAUAAUUUUUCAGCGAUUGACGAUGCGUUAACGUAUUGUGCACGACGUAUUUUCGGCAUUGUGUGUGUGUGGUUAGGACGUGGAGUUACGUCAUUUUGACUAUGUAAUAUUAAAUAGUAAAAAAGAAAUUUACAAAUAUUAAUUCAAUCAAGAACUGUAAUAAUAACCAGAUCUGCUAUUAAAUAUAACAAAUUGUAGAGAGUAAUAUUAUUAAUCUUAUCAUCAAAUUAGAAUGAUAGUACCAAAUCUUUACCUAAACCUUUACACAUAUGAUACGCAAUACAUACAAUGAAUUUUUUGAAAGAUAUACAUACACUUUUAGUUAUCAAUUUUCGUAAUUAAAAUUAAGAUUCAUGUAUCUUUACCGCGUUUAACGCAAUAGUCACUAGAUUUCGUCAGUCGAUUUCAGGAAAAUGAUAAAUAAAUUAAAUUGUACAAGUAGUGUACCAAAUAAACAAGUUACGUGUGAAAAUCGUGCAAUGAGUGAGUUGGUAAGCUUGUUUUAUUAUUUUUUAAUUAAUCAAAUUAAUUUAUUUAAUUCUUUGUUAUUUAGUUAUUUAAUAAGUUAUCUUUUGCUUUACGAUUAGAGAAUAUCGAGCCUAGGUUUCAAUGGGCAUUGCGCUCGAAGAAAGAAGAAGCUAGAAGCUGACGAGGCCCGGCAAAUUGUCAUGGAAGAGGGCAACUAUUAAUGGUUUCCUAUCCUCUGGUUCAUUCAGGGCAUAGGAAGUCAUUGUUGUUACUACUUUGUCACUAUAGUCACUUUUAAUAUUUGUAGUAGUAGUAGUAAUAGUAGUAGUAGUAAUAGUAUUAAUUUGUUUCUUGGCUGAAGUACAUUCCGGCUUACCAUAAUUUUGGGCAGAUCGCGUUUCCUUUUAUUAAUAUUACGAAUAAUUGAUACCUAUUGGUUUGAUUCGAAAUUUUCCAUUCUAAACCAGAGUUACGAAAAACAAUUGAUUUCGAUUUUAAUUAACGUUGCGAUAGAAUAAUGAUCGUGUUUGCCUCAUUGUAUAUACGUAUUUCUUAUUAUGAAUAAUUAGAAUUUAUUAAAAAGUAAUAUUAUAACUUGACACGUUUUUGUUUAUAUAAAGUUGAAUUAAAGAGAUGUAAAUUUUUAAUCAAUUUUGUAAUGCUGCGGUUUGUUGUUAUCGCAAAAAUUUGAAGUAACUUUUUAUUCAUACAGAAAUAGUGAUUUUUAUUUAAUUCAUUUUGAAAAUUAGUAUUGCAAUUAGUAUUUUAACGCGUUUCCUUAAAUUAUUUUUACAAUUAGUUGAUAGUUGUAUUGAUAGAAUAUCGCGUUUUCUAAUUAGUGUUGUGCCUGUAAAAAUGCAAAAAAAAUGGUUUCACUGAGAUUGUGGAAGUAUAUUCUUACUUUUAGAUCACCUGAUGUAGCUAAAAAAUAGCUGCACAGAAGCGGUCAUGUAUCAGCAAUCUCCAAUAUGGUUGUACUGGAUUUUCCGCUAUUAGUGUUGCGUAUACUUAAAUAUGAGUAUAUUGAUUAGUUUUUAUUAGUAUUGCGUAAAUAAUUAAAACACUCUAUUGUCGUGUAUGUUUUCGAAAUUUAAACAACUUUUUUUCUAUUCUUUUUCAUCAAUACAUUGAUAUUGCACACAUGAUAAAUCGCUCAUUGCGGUUUAUUUUGAGAAUUUUGUAUGUUAUAUGUAAAUCUACUGGUACAUUAGUGUCACAAGAUAGAAAAAAUGUUCCACUCACAAUUUCGAGUGGAUGAUCUGUUCUAAGUUGGUUUAUCUCUCAGCACUUUUUUUUUAUAAGAGCAUCUGUUACUGAAAAUAUAUCUGUUUAGUGUUUAUGAGUAUUUUUAACUUGGCUUAAGGAUGAUUUAAGAUUAAAUACAUAUCAAGUACAUAAAGAAAAGUAAUAUUGAAAAAUAUGAUUUAUAUAAUGCGAAAAAUUUCUAAUAAAUUAAAUAAAUAGUGAUAAGAAGAAUAGUGAUAAUUAAGUUUGUAAUAUUGUGCAAAGUGUUAAUGUAUAUGUAUGUAUGUAAAAAGAAUUCUUUACAUUUCUGAAAGAUGGAAGUUAGAAAUUCUUUAAUCUUUGGAUUAUAUCUAAAUUCUUUGGAUUAAAUCUAAAUAGGAUUUAUAAAAAGAAACCUUUAGAUUUCUAAUAGGUGAGGCUUACAAAAUUCCUAUUUAAUCUUUGCUGUUAUAUAUACAUAAGGGAAGACACAUAAAAAUUCUUAGGUUUUUAAUAGGCAGGUUAAAUUAGAUGUACACUUUGGUAGGAGGUAUCUUUAAAUUACAUUACGUAUGCAAUUAGGUAGCAUAUUUUUAAAUUAAGUUAGAUAUAUAGUUAGGCAAGCUUUUUAUAUGUAAAUAGG